rnacentral:rRNA from 1 species
UGGAGUCUGCAACUCGACUCCAUGAAGUCGGAAUCGCUAGUAAUCGUGGAUCAGAAUGCCACGGUGAAUACGUUCCCGGGCCUUGUACACACCGCCCGUCACACCAUGGGAGUGGGCUGCAAAAGAAGUAGGUAGUUUAACCUUCGGGGGGGACGCUUACCACUUUGUGGUUCAUGACUGGGGUGAAGUCGUAACAAGGUAGCGCUAGGGGAACCUGGCGCUGGAUCACCUCCUUAAACGAUGAU